GAUGAACGCUGGCGGCGUGCCUAAUACAUGCAAGUCGAGCGAACGGACGAGAAGCUUGCUUUUCUGAUGUUAGCGGCGGACGGGUGAGUAACACGUGGAUAACCUACCUAUAAGACUGGGAUAACUUCGGGAAACCGGAGCUAAUACCGGAUAAUAUUUUGAACCGCAUGGUUCAAAAGUGAAAGACGGUCUUGCUGUCACUUAUAGAUGGAUCCGCGCUGCAUUAGCUAGUUGGUAAGGUAACGGCUUACCAAGGCAACAAUGCAUAGCCGACCUGAGAGGGUGAUCGGGCACACUGGAACUGAGACACGGUCCAGACUCCUACGGGAGGCAGCAGUAGGGAAUCUUCGGCGAUGGGCGAAAGACUGAAGGAGCAACGCCGCGUGAGUGAUGAAGGUCUUCGGAUCGUAAAACUCUGUUAUUAGGGAAGAACAUAUGUGUAAGUAACUGUGCACAUCUUGACGGUACCUAAUCAGAAAGCCACGGCUAACUACGUG
rnacentral:rRNA from 1 species